rnacentral:siRNA from 1 species
AGCCGCAUGUUUGACCUAUUUUGC